rnacentral:rRNA from 1 species
GGGGAAUAUUGGGCAAUGGGCGAAAGCCUGACCCAGCAACGCCGCGUGAGGGAAGAAGGUUUUCGGAUUGUAAACCUCUGUCCCAUGGGACGAAAAAAAUGACGGUACCAUGGGAGGAAGCCCCGGCUAACUACGUGCCAGCAGCCGCGGUAAUACGUAGGGGGCGAGCGUUGUCCGGAAUGACUGGGCGUAAAGGGCGCGUAGGCGGCUUUUUAAGUUUGGAGUGAAAGUCCUGCUUUCAAGGUGGGAAUUGCUUUGAAAACUGGAGAGCUUGAGUGCGGAAGAGGUAAGUGGAAUGCCCAGUGUAGCGGUGAAAUGCGUAGAGAUUGGGAGGAACACCAGUGGCGAAGGCGACUUACUGGGCCGUAACUGACGCUGAGGCGCGAAAGCGUGGGGAGCGAACA